UCAGAGGGGGGUAGAAUUNCACGUGUAGCAGUGAAAUGCGUAGAGAUGUGGAGGAAUACCGAUGGCGAAGGCAGCCCCCUGGGAUAAUACUGACGUUCAUGCUCGAAAGCGUGGGUAGCAAACAGGAUUAGAUACCCUGGUAGUCCACGCCCUAAACGAUGUCAAUUAGCUGUUGGGGCACUUGAUGCCUUAGUAGCGAAGCUAACGCGUGAAAUUGACCGCCUGGGGAGUACGGUCGCAAGAUUAAAACUCAAAGGAAUUGACGGGGACCCGCACAAGCGGUGGAUGAUGUGGAUUAAUUCGAUGCAACGCGAAGAACCUUACCUGGUCUUGACAUGUACGGAAUCUUCCAGAGACGGAAGAGUGCCUUCGGGAGCCGUAACACAGGUGCUGCAUGGCUGUCGUCAGCUCGUGUCGUGAGAUGUUGGGUUAAGUCCCGCAACGAGCGCAACCCUUGUCAUUAGUUGCCACCAUUCAGUUGGGCACUCUAAUGAGACUGCCGGUGACAAACCGGAGGAAGGUGGGGAUGACGUCAAGUCCUCAUGGCCCUUAUGACCAGGGCUUCACACGUCAUACAAUGGUCGGUACAGAGGGUAGCCAAGCCGCGAGGUGGAGCCAAUCUCAGAAAACCGAUCGUAGUCCGGAUUGCACUCUGCAACUCGAGUGCAUGAAGUCGGAAUCGCUAGUAAUCGCAGGUCAGCAUACUGCGGUGAAUACGUUCCCGGGUCUUGUACACACCGCCCGUCACACCAUGGGAGUGGGGGAUACCAGAGGUA
rnacentral:rRNA from 1 species